rnacentral:rRNA from 1 species
UACGGAGGGUGCAAGCGUUAAUCGGAAUUACUGGGCGUAAAGCGCGCGUAGGUGGUUUGAUAAGCGAGAUGUGAAAGCCCCGGGCUUAACCUGGGAACGGCAUUUCGAACUGUCAGGCUAGAGUAUGGUAGAGGAGUGUGGAAUUUCCUGUGUAGCGGUGAAAUGCGUAGAUAUAGGAAGGAACACCAGUGGCGAAGGCGGCACUCUGGACCAAUACUGACACUGAGGUGCGAAAGUGUGGGGAGCAACAGAGUAGUUACCGAUCCCGACUC